rnacentral:rRNA from 1 species
UCGGGAAUUUUGCGCAAUGGGCGAAAGCCUGACGCAGCAACGCCGCGUGAGGGAUGAAGGCCUUCGGUUGUAAACCUCUUUUCUCAGGGACGAUGAUGACGGUACCUGAGGAAUAAGCCACGGCUAACUACGUGCCAGCAGCCGCGGUAAUACGUAGGUGGCGAGCGUUGUCCGGAUUUACUGGGCGUAAAGAGCGCGCAGGCGGUCGGUCAAGUCGAGUGUGAAAGCCCCCGGCUCAACUGGGGAGGGUCAUUCGAUACUGAUCGACUCGAAGGCAGGAGAGGGAAGUGGAAUUCCCGGUGUAGUGGUGAAAUGCGUAGAUAUCGGGACGAACACCAGUGGCGAAGGCGACUUCCUGGCCUGUUCUUGACGCUGAGGCGCGAAAGCUAGGGGGAGCAAACGGGAUUAGAUACCCCCGGUAGUCCUAGCCGUAAACGAUGGACACUAGGUGUUGGUGGUAUCAACCCCGCCAGUGCCGAAGCUAACGCAUUAAGUGUCCCGCCUGGGGAGUACGG